rnacentral:lncRNA from 1 species
UUUUCACAGAAAUCAUCAUUGGCAUCUCACCAGAAAUCUAAAGGAGCAAUAAACAUCUCAAAAACAAAACAAACACACACCACCAACCAAGCAAGAUAAAACAAUAAAGCUAACAAAAAGAUAAAAGUGAUACACAUAUCUACUCUCACCCCCCUCCCCCAAACUUAUUACAGAACAUAAGUUCGAAAAUAAGUUUGGAGGGAUGAUGAUAUGUGUGUCACUACUCACAGAAAUACAUGCUCCAUGGUGGUGGUAUGAACAAGGCGCGAGUUCCCGCAUCUUCCAAGCUCAACACUGCACUAAAACCCCAAACAAAACAACGAAACAAAAAGAAACAAAACGAAACUAAAAGAAAGAAAAACAA